rnacentral:lncRNA from 1 species
UAGAGAGAAGAGAAAGAAAGAAGAAGAAGAAGAAGAAGAUCUUAUAAGAGGAAGAAGAGGAGAGCAAGGUUAGGAAGCAAGAUAGAAGAGGAGAUUGAAGCUCUAGCUUAAGCUUUUAGGAGAUUGAGAUAAGAAAGCGGAAAAUAACAUGCAAGGGAAUUGGGAGGCUACUUCUAUGACAGGAUUUAUAGUGCCUGAGGUCCCAAAAGUGGUUGCUAAUGGUAUUCCUCAAGGUACUACAGGUUAUCCAGAAUUUUCAAAAUCCAAAACACCAGAAAUUCCAUAUAAGAAAGCGGAAAAUAACAUGCAAGGGAUUUGGGAGGCUACUUCUAUGACAGGAUUUAUGGUGCCUGAGGUCCCAAAGGUGGUCUCUAAUGGUAUUCCUCAAGGUACUACAGGUUAUCCAGAAUUUUCAAAAUCCAAAACACCAGAAAUUCCAGAUAAGAAAGCGGAAAAUAACAUGGAAGGGAUUUGGGAGGCUACUUCUAUGACAGGAUUUAUAGU